rfam:Hymenolepis diminuta genome assembly, scaffold: HDID_contig0001148
UUCUCCUACAAAUUCAUAUUAUUUCUUUCAAAUACAGGAAUGAUGGUAGGCGCUUUGUGUGCCAUUACAGGAGUCCUGACAAUUGCUCUCCCAGUGCCCGUCAUUGUGUCAAAC